AGUGAACGCUGGCGGUAGGCCUAACACAUGCAAGUCGAACGGCAGCACAGUAAGAGCUUGCUCUUACGGGUGGCGAGUGGCGGACGGGUGAGGAAUACAUCGGAAUCUACUUUUUCGCGGGGGAUAACGUAGGGAAACUUACGCUAAUACCGCAUACGACCUACGGGUGAAAGCAGGGGAUCUUCGGACCUUGCGCGAUUGAAUGAGCCGAUGUCGGAUUAGCUAGUUGGCGGGGUAAAGGCCCACCAAGACGACGAUCCGUAGCUGGUCUGAGAGGAUGAUCAGCCACACUGGAACUGAGACACGGUCCAGACUCCUACGGGAGGCAGCAGUGGGGAAUAUUGGACAAUGGGCGCAAGCCUGAUCCAGCCAUACCGCGUGGGUGAAGAAGGCCUUCGGGUUGUAAAGCCCUUUUGUUGGGAAAGAAAAGCAGCAGGUUAAUACCCCGCUGUUCUGACGGUACCCAAAGAAUAAGCACCGGCUAACUUCGUG
rnacentral:rRNA from 1 species